AUGGACUCAUUGCAUGGAAAGGCUCUUUUCUCUAAAGCUUUCAAAUUCCACAAUGAAGUUUCAGAGGAAACACAGAAUAUCCUAAUUCGGGGUGUACCAUACCAGGUGUAUAAAGAUGUAAAUAAAUGCAAUACUUGACAUGAAAGAAUGAGUCUGGUAUUGCUAUUGAUGCUGGAGGGCACCGUGACCUCUGCACUCAAAAUCUGGAGGUGGGGACGGGUGGAAAUGAGCAGUGCCUAGAAGUGCAGUUCUAGAAAUAAAUCAGUAACUAACAGGGAGGAUUGCUUCUUG
rnacentral:lncRNA from 1 species